rnacentral:piRNA from 1 species
UGUGCUUGUACCGGGAGAGCC